rnacentral:rRNA from 1 species
AAAGCGAAGGGGGACCCGCAAAGGCCUUGCGCUCUUUGAGGCCGGCCGAUGUCAGAUUAGCUAGUUGGUGAGGUAAAGGCUUACCAAGGCGACGAUCUGUAGCGGGUCUGAGAGGAUGAUCCGCCACACUGGAACUGAGACACGGUCCAGACUCCUACGGGAGGCAGCAGUGGGGAAUUUUGGACAAUGGGCGCAAGCCUGAUCCAGCCAUGCCGCGUGAGUGAAGAAGGCCUUCGGGUUGUAAAGCUCUUUCGGCCGGGAAGAAAUCGCAUGGGUUAAUACCCUGUGUGGAUGACGGUACCGGAAUAAGAAGCACCGGCUAACUACGUG